rnacentral:rRNA from 1 species
UUAGCGGCGGACGGGUGAGUAACACGUGGAUAACCUACCUAUAAGACUGGGAUAACUUCGGGAAACCGGAGCUAAUACCGGAUAAUAUUUUGAACCGCAUGGUUCAAAAGUGAAAGACGGUCUUGCUGUCACUUAUAGAUGGAUCCGCGCUGCAUUAGCUAGUUGGUAAGGUAACGGCUUACCAAGGCAACGAUGCAUAGCCGACCUGAGAGGGUGAUCGGCCACACUGGAACUGAGACACGGUCCAGACUCCUACGGGAGGCAGCAGUAGGGAAUCUUCCGCAAUGGGCGAAAGCCUGACGGAGCAACGCCGCGUGAGUGAUGAAGGUCUUCGGAUCGUAAAACUCUGUUAUUAGGGAAGAACAUAUGUGUAAGUAACUGUGCACAUCUUGACGGUACCUAAUCAGAAAGCCACGGCUAACUACG